rnacentral:lncRNA from 1 species
GUUUAACAACAGCUGGGGAAGGGAGGAUCCUAAUCUGUAACAUUGGCUACAAAUUUUCAUAGUAAUCAAAGCUACUAAUGUGACUUCACUGAAUGUGAGUUAGUUGAAAAUGAUGCUAACCAGAAGCUAGCUUUUAUGGCUUAGUUUCCAACAAUCAGAUGUACCCAUUCAAGAUAUAUUUGUGAGCUGAGUGCAGAUGUACAUGCCUGUAACCCCAGAAACUCAGGAGGCUGAAGAAUGAGGUUGCAAGUUUGAGGCCAGCCUGGCCAACACAGCAAGACCAUGUCUCAAAAUGAAAAGAGCUGGUAAAGUUCCCCUAGGUUAAAUCCCCAGUAGAAAACAACAACAAUAAAACACUGAAAGAGAAGUGUUUGUGAAAGUGAACAACAUGAUACACUUCAACUAUACUUAGAAGACAGGAUCUUCUGGCAAACACCAUGGUGAUGUCUGGUUCUUCUAGGUAGCUAGGGAGGAGUUGUAGCAUCUCACUUUGGAGUCAUAGAUACUGACUGCCAAUUGAUGCUGGGUUUCGUGGGAUGGGUAUUCCUCCUGGCUUGAUUUUUUUCCUAGAUGUUUCUAGCUAUGAUUCCCUGGCUCUGUAAGAGAUGUGUGAGCUAAAUAAUAUCCAUUAAUCCCUUGCUACUUAAACUAACCCAGUCAUGUCCAGCUACAUAAUUUGUGGGCUUCAGAGCUAACUGAAAAUGUAGGGCCACUUGUUCAAAAGGCAGGAAAAAGGUGCCAUUUUCUACCCUAAAAUAUCUAGCUUUUUUUCUCUUCUCCCCUUCUAGUUAUAGUGUUUUAAUGUGCUUUUUUAAUGUCAAUGUAAGUAAAAAACUUAAACUUUUAAAUUCUUAGGAUAAAUUUUACCAUUCAUCUUUAUAUUAUGCAAUGCCAUUUUAAAGGGCAAAUACGAGAGCAUUUCACUCAUACAAAAUUUCACUCACCAAAAUACACAAUUGGUGUUUCGUAGCUUAUUCAUUCAGAUGUAUUCUUUUGCUACCAGAACAAUGUGAACUCUGCACAAAACUAACUCAAUUAUUUUUAUUUUACUUCUUCAUAUGCACAAUUCUAC